rnacentral:rRNA from 1 species
ACCCAAUAGAUACCCCGGUAGUCCUGGCCAUAAACGAUGUCCACUAGAUCGUAGUCUCUCUGACGUUAUUACGGUCGAAAGCAAAAAAGUGCUAAGUGGACCGCCUGGGAAGUACGGUCGCAAGGCUAAAAACUCAAAGAAAUUGACGGGGGCUCACACAAGCGGUGGAGCAUGUGGUUCAAUUCGAAGCAACGCGCAGAACCUUACCUGGGCUUGACAUGCUAGGAUUAUCUCUAUGAAAGUAGAGUAGGCCCUUGGGUACGAACUAGUACAGGUGCUGCAUGGCUGUCGUCAGCUCGUGUCGUGAGAU